GAGUGCGGAGGGAGGAAGAGGGCGGCCGCUCAGAGCAUGCGCAGACAAAAGGACAGCCGAUUCUCCCUCUGACGGAGACUGAAACUUACAGCGCAUGCGCCAGAGAAACGCCGCUGAGACCGAAGCCAGCCUGCGAGUCACGUGGCGGAGGAGCGGCUCUGGAGGGGUGAAACGAUUGGCCGUGAGGGUUAACGAGGCGGAAGUGUUGACGUUCCUUUGCUGGCGUGAGGUGGGUUUGUGGUUGGUGCAGUUCCUUUACCAGACAUGGAUGGUCGCAGAGCGUGGUUGUGACCCCAGAACUAUAGACCCAUUGUUCUCCUUGGCUUUGUUUAGAUGUCUUCUGUUCCUCCUGAAGGACAGGUUCUUAGACAUGUGCCAAAUGUGUUUACAUGGUGGUGGAGAAACAUGGGGGCUGCAGAGAGAUUGAACUACAGGGUGCCAUAGUUGAGAGGUGGAAGAAGCGAGGCCGAUUACCUGAAGAAUGCAUUCAAGAGACUAAAAGGGAUCUAAAGUGCAGCCCAUCUGGAAUAAAACAUCAGUUCCACCCACUGAAGAAAGUAAAUACCAGCAAACCUCAGGAUAUGCUUUUCAGCCGUCCUGCUGUCUCGUUUUAAAUUGGAGCUUGUCUCAUCAUCCUGUUAGGAAACGCAGAUCUGCCCAAUCUUGCUCAUUUGGGAGUACAACUAUUUGAAGACGCUCUCCCAGAGUCAUCUGAGUGAGAAAAUGAAAAAUGUAUCUUCAUGCUUUAAGAACUUUGAUGACCAAGAACUUUGGUGCUUGAAUAACUCAGACUAUUUGCAUUUAACACAAGUAGCACCUAGAGGCUCCGACCAAGAUCUGAUUCCCUUUGUGCCUGGCACAUAGUAAGAGACAGUCCUUACCCUGAAGAUCUUACAAUCUAAAUGGACAAGACAAACAGUUUGAGAGAAAACAGAACUGAAUUUGCAGCUUACAGGCCAGCCCAAUCUCCUCCUCCAGCAACAUUAGGAAGGGUGUGUUUGUGUGUAUGUGUAACUCACUACCAGAUAUCUCUCCUUAUGCAAUGGGACUGGAAUGGGAAGGUCUCCUACUUCAUGAGAUAUGGAUCAUCACAUCAUGCUCCUUGCAUGAUAUUAUAUGAAGUAUGGAAGCUGCUGUUGAUACAGUGGCAGUAUAUCAGCACUGAAACCUGCAAAUUGUCCUUUCAGGACAAGGAGAUAAUGCUGCCUGCUUCUUGUUCACAAUGUCACCUGAAAGUGAGAACAGGUGUUCGCAUGGAACUGUUGUAGCUGGCGCUGUAAGAUAUUUACAUGACAGAUGGACUGAAGUUUCAUAUGUUCCUUGAUACUUCACCAUUCCAGAGGACG